CAUGUAUAUCAAGAGUGAAAUCUUUCCAUACUGUGCAGUGAUCGAUGAGAUCUGAGCUACACGGCUGGACAGGGUCCGGUCGAAGCCCGGUGCCAUGCUGCUGGGGGCUGCUGCGGCCUGCGACGGAUGGCGGCUGUUGCUUCCGCUCCCUGAGGAGAUGCCGUCCUUGUGGCGCACAGGGCGGCUACCCACGGUUGCAGCCCGAUGGCUUCAUUCUCGGGACGCGGCCCGUUGGAUGUGCGACGACCGGCACCUUGCGACCGCUGCGGUGACCGGCAGCGGUGCCCGCUCUCCUGACUUGACAACGGACUACAUCUUCGUGCUGCCAUGGGGUGGCGCCACUGGUGGGACGAGCGCCACUGGUGGAGCAGGCGCCAUCUCUGAGGCGGUACAGCCGACCGGCUGGCUAACGGCGUCGAGCGCCUGAUGAAUGCUGCGCUGAGCGGCGAUACUGAGUCGCCGCUCUCGAACUGUCGACGUCCCACUGAGCUUGUUGGACAUGACUACGGGGCAGCCGACUAGACUACAUCCUCGGCCGCGGCCCGUUGGAUGUGCGAUGACCGGCACCUUGCGACCGCUGCGGUGACCGGCAGCGGUGCCCCCUCUCCUGACUUGACAACGGGCUACAUCUUCAUGCUGCCAUGGGGUGGCGCCACUGGUCGGACGAGCGCCACUGGUGGAGCAGGCGCCAUCUCUGAGGCGGUACAGCCGACCGGCUGGCUAACGGCGUCGAGCGCCUGAUGAAUGCUGCGCUGAGCGGCGAUACUGAGUCGCCGCUCUCGAACUGUCGAAGUCCCAGUGAGCUUGUUGGACAUGACUACGGGGCAGCCGACUAGACUUCAUUCUCGGCCGCGGCCCGUUGGAUGUAUGAUGACCGGCACCUUGCGACCGCUGCGGUGAGCGGCAGCGGUGCCCCCUCUCCUGACUUGACAACGGGCUACAUCUUCAUGCUGCCAUGGGGUGGCGCCACUGGUGGGACGAGCGCCACUGGUGGAGCAGGCGCCACCUCUGUGGCGCUACUGCCGACCUUGGACCGGCGGGAUGACGGCGUCGAACGCCCGAUGACUGUGUGCUGGACGGCGAUACUGAGUCGCCGCUCUCCGGGCACCAUCCCCAUCGACCAAGGCCCGGCUGGUGCUUGGCGCCGGGUGCCGGAUGGCCGCUGCGCUCGGCGGCGGUGCUGGGUCGCCGCUCUCUGGAAUGACCGCUGACUCGUCUUUUUGAUCUCGUCUUUGUGUUACCGUCUGGUUAGGCACUGUCAAACUCCCCAAUAUAACCUUUAACACUAACUGUCCGUAUUCUAACAAAACUAACAUGUGAAUCCUUUCCGACCAAUCCCGUUUGACAGUGCCAUAAAUUAUGAAUUGUUCAAUGUGUGAUCCCAAAUUAUAAUCAAUAAACGGAACGGAACGGAAAAAAAA
rnacentral:lncRNA from 1 species